UGCUUGUGAGCUCUGUGCUUAUCUGGGUUGUAGGUGAGGAGAGAAGAGAGAGCUGUGUGAUCCUUGAUUAGGGGCUUUUCAUAUGAGGCACAAGAGGUGCGCGCCAUGGAGCGUACUGUGGAGAACAUCGUGCUGCCCCGGCACGAGGCCCUGCUCUUCCUCGUCUUCUGAGGAUAAGGCGCACGUUCUCCGCAGCGCAGAGCAGCUUGCCGAGGACCCCGCGUGAAGAAAGCCAGCAGUGGGGGCUCCUGCUCCCUGAGACUCUGGGUUCACCCACAGCACUUUCUGAGGAAGAGGACACCAGCCCAAGCUGGACCUGCCAUUUCUCCACUCCCUACAGACAGCCAGUCUCCACUUGCCUCCCGUCCAGACGUAUCUGGUCGGGGAAGUGGGGGAUGUUCU
rnacentral:sRNA from 1 species